UACGUAGGUGGCAAGCGUUGUCCGGAAUUAUUGGGCGUAAAGCGCGCGCAGGUGGUUCCUUAAGUCUGAUGUGAAAGCCCACGGCUCAACCGUGGAGGGUCAUUGGAAACUGGGGAACUUGAGUGCAGGAGAGAAGAGUGGAAUUCCACGUGUAGCGGUGAAAUGCGUAGAGAUGUGGGGGAACACCAGUGGCGAAGGCGACUCUUUGGCCUGUAACUGACACUGAGGCGCGAAAGCGUGGGGAGCAAACAGG
rnacentral:rRNA from 1 species